rnacentral:misc_RNA from 1 species
CAAAGGCUGCGGAGCCAAUGCCGACAGACGGUCUGCCGGAAGCUCCGCCGCCCAGGAAGGUUGGCGCCAGGUGCCGAUGGAUCCGUAGCAGAUACAGCGGCGACGGCAGAGUUGUUGUUAGCGGCGGCAGCAGACACGGCGGAAUUGUCAGAAGGGAUGGCGGACAUGGAGGCGGUAGGGUUGGUGAGGCCAGAGUCAAGGCCCCCCUCGAAGUCGAAGCUGAGACCACCGUCUGUGUCCUCCAUUGGUAGACAAAAGGGCGUACGUGCCUAGGUUCGGAUUAGGGUUUUCUGUAUGGAGAUCAUUCACAAUGUAAAUUUUGAUAUCGGUAAGAGAAAACUGGAGAAACCUCGCUAGGUCGCUGCCUGGGUUUUGG